rnacentral:rRNA from 1 species
GACGAACGCUGGCGGCGUGCCUAAUACAUGCAAGUUGAGCGAUGAAGAUUGGUGCUUGCACCAAUUUGAAGAGCAGCGAACGGGUGAGUAACGCGUGGGGAAUCUGCCUUUGAGCGGGGGACAACAUUUGGAAACGAAUGCUAAUACCGCAUAACAACUUUAAACAUAAGUUUUAAGUUUGAAAGAUGCAAUUGCAUCACUCAAAGAUGAUCCCGCGUUGUAUUAGCUAGUUGGUGAGGUAAAGGCUCACCAAGGCGAUGAUACAUAGCCGACCUGAGAGGGUGGUCGGCCACAUUGGGACUGAGACACGGCCCAAACUCCUUCGGGAGACAGCAGUAGGGAAUCUUCGGCAAUGGACGAAAGUCUGACCGAGCAACGCCGCGUGAGUGAAGAAGGUUUUCGGAUCGUAAAACUCUGUUGGUAGAGAAGAACGUUGGUGAGAGUGGAAAGCUCAUCAAGUGACGGUAACUACCCAGAAAGGGACGGCUAACUACGUG